GAUGAACGCUGGCGGCGUGCCUAAUACAUGCAAGUCGAGCGAACAGACGAGGAGCUUGCUCCUCUGACGUUAGCGGCGGACGGGUGAGUAACACGUGGAUAACCUACCUAUAAGACUGGGAUAACUUCGGGAAACCGGAGCUAAUACCGGAUAAUAUAUUGAACCGCAUGGUUCAAUAGUGAAAGACGGUUUUGCUGUCACUUAUAGAUGGAUCCGCGCCGCAUUAGCUAGUUGGUAAGGUAACGGCUUACCAAGGCAACGAUGCGUAGCCGACCUGAGAGGGUGAUCGGCCACACGGGAACUGAGACACGGUCCAGACUCCUACGGUAGGCAGCAGUAGGGAAUCUUCCGCAAUGGGCGAAAGCCUGACGGAGCAACGCCGCGUGAGUGAUGAAGGUCUUCGGAUCGUAAAACUCUGUUAGUAGGGAAGAACAAAUGUGUAAGUAACUAUGCACGUCUUGACGGUACCUAAUCAGAAAGCCACGGCUAACUACGUG
rnacentral:rRNA from 1 species